rnacentral:rRNA from 1 species
GACGAACGCUGGCGGCGUGCUUAACACAUGCAAGUCGAACGGAAAGGCCCUGCUUGCAGGGUACUCGAGUGGCGAACGGGUGAGUAACACGUGGGUGAUCUGCCCUGCACUUCGGGAUAAGCCUGGGAAACGGGGUCUAAUACCUGAUAGGAGCCAUUUUUUGUGGGAUGGUUGGAAAGUUUUUUGGGUGUUGGGUGAGCUCGCGGCCUAUCAGCGUGUUGGGGGGGUAAUGGCCUACCAAGGCGCCGACGGGUAGCCGGACAGGGGGGGUGGGCGGCCACCCUGGGACUGAGAGGAGGCCCCGGCUCCUAAGGGUGGACGCAGUGGGGAAGCUUGAACCAUCGGCGCCAGCCUGGUGCAGCGGCGCCGCGUGGGGGAUAACCGCCUUCGGGUUGUAAAAUACCUUCGCUAGGGACGAAGCUUUUUGUGACGGUACCUAGAUAAGAAGCACCGGCUAACUACGUG